rnacentral:misc_RNA from 1 species
CAUAUUUUGAGGAUACAAAGCUUACAAAAACUUUCACUUUCCUUGGUGAAGGAACAACAGAAAUUACUGCUACACUGAUUAAGUGGAAACAGGGCAUGGAAAUGCCGAAUGGAGUGAAUGAGAAGAAAGGGAACAAAAGACCUUUUAUUGAUGAAGGCUUCUUCGGUUGGUUUAGUAGUCCUGUGCGGAAAGAGACGGUGGAAAAUUAUCAGGAUGAGAUUGCAGAUGUUAUCAAAGAAGAUUUAUGGCCCAAUCCACUCUCUUAUUUCAACACUGAUCCUGAUGAUGAGGAGUUUGAAGGGGAUGAAGCUGAUGAAGGGGUUAAGGAUGGUGAUGACUCUGAAGAGGAUGACGAUGAGCAAGAAGACGACGAAGAUGAUGAUGCUGGUAUCUGACUGGUACCAUGUUCAGUAGGUGGUUUUCUGACGAUUUUUCUUAUCCAGUCAAGGCCAUUCGUUCUGUUCUACUGUGGUUUCCUCCCUGAUAUGCAGUUUUCUAGAUAAUUAUGGUAUGAUGUCCUUUUUAUAUCUUACAUCUCUUUCAAUCCUUGAUCAAAGAAAAAGUAGAAUCGUACCUUAUGGUGUAAAGUUGUUGGGAUAAGCCUCUUAUAUGCAUUCAAUUUACUAACAAACAAAUGACCUAUGCUGUUAUCAGUUUAAGCUUAUCAGGUUCUUUAGCUGUGGACUUGUUCAAAAAGUACUUUGUGUGUUGGAAUCCAUUUUUUUU